rnacentral:rRNA from 1 species
GGGUUGUGAGGUUAAGCGACUAAGCGUACACGGUGGAUGCCCUGGCAGUCAGAGGCGAUGAAGGACGUGCUAAUCUGCGAAAAGCGUCGGUAAGGUGAUAUGAACCGUUAUAACCGGCGAUGUCCGAAUGGGGAAACCCAGUGUGAUUCGUCACACUAUCGUUAACUGAAUACAUAGGUUAACGAGGCGAACCGGGGGAACUGAAACAUCUAAGUACCCCGAGGAAAAGAAAUCAACCGAGAUUCCCCCAGU